rnacentral:SRP_RNA from 1 species
GCUGGGCGUGGUGGCUCACGCCUGUAAUCCCAGCACUUUGGGAGGCCGAGGCGGGUGGAUCACUGGAGGUCAGGAGUUCAAGACCAGCCUGACCAACAUGGUGAAACCCCGUCUCUA